ensembl:lncRNA
GAUGUGUGUGUGUGAUAGGGGGUGGGAGAGGCGUGUUGUGAAUAGAAAUGUCAUCUGUUCGCUAAAUUACCUUGGUGUGAGGAAAAGCUGUUUAAACCUGCAAGAGGAUCCUGCCCACCAAAUGGGUCUCAACUGAAUUGUCCGCUGCUUGUGUGACCUGGAACCAGUCUCCUCCUCUGCCCAGGCCCCCUGAGGAUUGGCUGAGGCCUGCACACAAUGGGGAGGACCAUCUGCUUACUCAAUUCACCAGUUCAAAUCUCUUCUAGAAACACAGUCGCAGCCCGAAAUAAUGUUUCACCAGCUGUAUCUGGACACCACUUAGGCCAGUGAGACUGAUACAGGAAAUUAACCACCACACCAAGCAGCUGUCUCACAUCAGAGUAAAGG